AUUUGUGUUUGAUGUGAUUUUAUGUUUGUUUGUUGUAAAAUUUUGGGUGUACUUGCAGAAAAGCACAGGGAAAUAUAUAGGGAAGAAUUGCCUGAACACCUCUACUUAGAAAUGUUUUUUAAUCUAACAGUGCCAAAUACUCUAAGAAAAUAUCUAGGCUAUGUACCAACACAAAUUUUACAUAUUUUUAAAGAUGAACAUACAAAAGAAAAAAAGCCUCAAAAUAAAAAAGAGGAACAAGAAUUACAGUAAGAACCGUCAAGAUCACUCUGAUCCCUUCAUAGAUUCUGUAAUCCCUGCUCAGAGGAUCGAAAGUGAUGGGGAGGAGGAAGUAGCUUGAUAUGCUGUUCUCUGAGUCUUCCUUAGCAUUGAGGAAAAGUCACAGUACCUACCCCAUUCUGCUGUUUGCAUUACGUUGGUUGAUUGCGUUCAGCACACGCUCUUUAUACGAGGCAUC